CGAUAGACUCGUUGGUGACAGCGGAGGGAUCAUUACUGAGUACUACACGUCUCUACCCUUUGUGAACUAUUGUACCUGUUGCUUCGGCGGCGCCCGCGAGGGUGCCCGCCGGUCUCAUCAGAAUCUCUGUUUUCGAACCCGACGAUACUUCUGAGUGUUCUUAGCGAACUGUCAAAACUUUUAACAACGGAUCUCUUGGCUCCAGCAUCGAUGAAGAACGCAGCGAAACGCGAUAUGUAAUGUGAAUUGCAUAAUUCAGUGAAUCAUCGAAUCUUUGAACGCACAUGGCGCCUUCCAGUAUCCUGGGAGGCAUGCCUGUCCGAGCGUCGUUUCAACCCUCGAGCCCCCGUGGCCCGGCGUUGGGGAUCUGCCACGGCAGGCCCCUAAAACCAGUGGCGGACCCGAAGGCCCUCUCCUUUGCGCAGUAGCAUCAGCCUCGCAUUGGGAUCCCUCGGCGUCCUGCCUCUAAACCCCCCACAAGUCCGCUCCGGCGGCACCAAGGUUGACCUCGGAUCAGGUAGGAAUACCCGCUGAACUUAAGCAUAUCAAUAAGCGGAGGAAAAGAAACCAACAGGGAUUGCCUCAGUAACGGCGAGUGAAGCGGCAACAGCUCAAAUUUGAAAUCUGGCUCCUUCGGGGCCCGAGUUGUAAUUUGCAGAGGAUGCGUCGGGUACGGGUGCCUUCCGAGUUCCCUGGAACGGGACGCCAUAGAGGGUGAGAGCCCCGUCUGGUAGGACACCCAGCCCGUGUGACGCUCCCUCGACGAGUCGAGUAGUUUGGGAAUGCUGCUCUAACGGGAGGUAUACUCCUUCCAAGGCUAAAUACCGGCUGGAGACCGAUAGCGCACAAGUAGAGUGAUCGAAAGAUGAAAAGCACUUUGAAAAGAGAGUCAAACAGCACGUGAAAUUGUUAAAAGGGAAGCGCUCGCUACCAGACUUGGGUUCGGCGGGUUCAACCGGGGCCACGCCCCGGGGGCAUUCCGCCGGCCCAGCCAGCAUCAGCUUUCCGUCGGGGGUAAAGGCGUCGGGAAUGUGCUCCCCUUCGGGGGGAGUGUUAUAAGCCCGUCGUGUCAUACCCGUUCGGGGUGCUGAGGUACGCGCUCUGCCAGAUGCCUGACGUAAUGGUAACUAGUGACCGUCUGUAAAAACACCGGAAACCACAAAUUAG
rnacentral:rRNA from 1 species